AGAUUGCUUUUUGUUCGACAUACAUGGAAAGAAUGUUCGAUGGAAAGGGGUCCUCCCGUUAUGUAUUCCGUGUGGUCAAGGGUUAGCUGAUUGUUAACAAAGUAUCGAAUGAAAAGGAAAGAAAUUGGUGUUAUUGGUGUUGUCAACUCUUCCGUUUUAUUUUUAUUUACCAAACGUUGACGCUUGUAGCGUACAUUUUCAGCAUGCAAGAUGCAGCCUCAAGUGGACGAUAUACAGCAAUAAUUAACUUGGUGUCGACCAAAGCUUCUACCGACUUCUGCCUGUAUACCCUGAGCCCUAAGCUCGAGUACACAUCACCAUCCAUGCGGCCUGGACAGCGAGAAAUAUAGGUUUUCAUCUAGAGAUGAUGGCGCGUGUCAGGUGGAUAGCAGGUUGUCUGGCGGUGAGAUGGGGUCUAACGUCAAUGUGUACGCCGUUUUGCCAUGAAAAGGGAGAGGGGUGUGGAUCUUGAAGGGCGGUGUACUUCUACCAACGGAUAUAUCAUGAUGAUGGUGUAGUCCGAUACCAUGACUGGAAAGUUCACCCGAUACAGUUCUCAUCAUGGUGGAGGAUGAUCAAGGAUCCAGUUUAUAUCUGCCGGUCCCCGAAUCCGAGGAACUUUACACAUUUUAAGGAUUUAAAAUAAAUCCAGAUAUAUUAUGCUGUGAAUAGUGACCAUGCAGGCGAAUAUUACAUUCUUAAGGGUUAAUCCUUAUACGUUUGAAUAUCAAAGGAUUUGAAUUCCAAUUUUUUUAGCUAUGUAACUGAAUCACAGUCGAUCUGGAUUUAUUUCAAAUCUGAUUGCUCUUUUUUAACCUGUAUGGUACAUUACGUCUUAGUGCUGUAUUUAUCUCCUUUUUUUGGGGGGCGGGUGGUGUUUAUCUUCAUUCACUAUGCAUUUGGACAUGGUUAAAUGAAAAAAAAAAUCAUAAUCAGAAGUUCAAAACUUCAGGAAUACCAUACAUUCUAUAUAGCGCAUACCCCCCCCCCCAUAAGGUUAUGUGAUAAAAAUAAUAACUCAGUAUAAGGCAAACAAUCUAGGGCCAUUUUAAAGUGGGUUACAUUAUUUUCUUUCCUGGGAAGUAAGAAACAGGAUUUUUCAUGAAACUCUUAUUGAUGAAUUAGAAGAACAAUACUGAACAAAAGUCCCGUUUGCUUAAUUUCCUUUUCACUGUUUGGGAAAUGGAUUUGAAUAAUUAGAGAAAAUUCAAACAGUCAAAAUUUCAUCAAAACCAUCAGAUGUAAAAUAAGAUUAUUUUCAUACGCACAAAAGGGAUCAAAUGUAAAUGAGAGAGUCGACGAUGUCACACACUCACUAUUUCUCUUGUAUUCUAUUUCAUGAAACAUAGACCAUUUCAAAUUUGGCAGAUUUGACCAUUCAGUAGAGAGCAUCUUCAUUGAAUAACAAUAGGCCUAAAUGCAAGGAUGAUGGCAAUCUCAUAAAUUCAUGGAAGAUUCAAACCUUGUUUCACAUCAUGAGGAAAUGUGAAGAUAUCUCAUAAUUCACAUAAUGAAAAAUGAAAUGCAAAAUGACUGAGUAGUGAGUGGGUUAACGUCAUCAGUUCCCUCAUUUGCAUACUGACCGGAAUUAAGCGAAACUUGGAAAGUCCAUAACUUUCUUAUUUUGCAACCGAUUAUGAGUAGAUUUUCACCUUGGUUACAAAAGAAUUGCACCACGGGAAAAUCCGAAAAAUAAGUUCUUCUACAAAUGGCAUCGUGCUAAAUUUUAUAAUUUUAUUUUGCCUGGUGUGUAUUUCAUAAAGCAGUUUGUAAGUUACGACUGACUCAACGCUGGAUUGGCGACCCUUUCUUGUGCUAAAUGAUCCAUGUCGCCAACUUAAACUGCAUAAAGUCAUGCGUAACUUAACAAAGAACUUUAUACAAUAAUCAUCUGGGCCCCGUCUUAUGAAGAGUUACGAUUGAUCCGAUCAACUUUAAGUAUAUGGAAAUCCAUCAAUGUCAUACUUUUUUUUAUUUAGAAAAUUUGCACAAUGUCCUUCUUGAAAACAAAGAGAAGCACACUGAAUUGUCACGGUGAGUGUAUGAAUAUACAUCGUGAUUUUUUUUCAUAUCUAAAAAUAUUUAGAAAAAACGGGUAUUUUAGAUGUUGACGUUGCUGGCUUUCCAUAGUUGUGGUUGACUGGAUCAAUAGUAACACUUUGAAAGAUGGGGCCCUGGUUAGUAAACGAUUGUGUUACA